rnacentral:rRNA from 1 species
UACGUAGGGGGCAAGCGUUGUCCGGAUUUAUUGGGCGUAAAGAGCGUGUAGGCGGUCAGGUAGGUCCGUUGUGAAAACUCGAGGCUCAACCUCGAGACGCCGAUGGAAACCAUCUGACUAGAGUCCGGAAGAGGAGAGUGGAAUUCCCGGUGUAGCGGUGAAAUGCGCAGAUAUCGGGAAGAACACCCGUGGCGAAGGCGGCUCUCUGGGACGGUACUGACGGCUGAGACGCGAAAGCGUGGGGAGCGAACAGG